rnacentral:rRNA from 1 species
CCUACGGGUGGCAGCAGUGAGGAAUAUUGGUCAAUGGGCGCGAGCCUGAACCAGCCAAGUCGCGUGAGGGAAGACGGUCCUAUGGAUUGUAAACCUCUUUUGUCGGGGAGCAAAAGACGCCACGCGUGGCGUUCCGAGAGUACCCGACGAAAAUGCAUCGGCUAACUCCGUGCCAGCAGCCGCGGUAAUACGGAGGAUGCGAGCGUUAUCCGGAGUUAUUGGGUUUAAAGGGUGCGCAGGCGGAAGGUCAAGUCAGCGGUAAAAUUGAGAGGCUCAACCUCUUCGAGCUGUUGAUACUGGUUGUCUUGAGUGAGUGAGAAGUAUGCGGAAGGCGUGGUGUAGCGGUGAAAUGCAUAGAUAUCACGCAGAACUCCGAUUGCGAAGGCAGCAUACCGGCGCUCAACUGACGCUCAUGCACGAAAGUGUGGGUAUCGAACAGGAUUAGAUACCCUUGUAGUC